rnacentral:rRNA from 1 species
UGGGGAAUUUUGGACAAUGGGCGCAAGCCUGAUCCAGCCAUGCCGCGUGCGGGAAGAAGGCCUUCGGGUUGUAAACCGCUUUUGUCAGGGAAGAAACGGCCUGGGCUAAUACCCCGGGCUAAUGACGGUACCUGAAGAAUAAGCACCGGCUAACUACGUGCCAGCAGCCGCGGUAAUACGUAGGGUGCAAGCGUUAAUCGGAAUUACUGGGCGUAAAGCGUGCGCAGGCGGCUUUGCAAGACAGAUGUGAAAUCCCCGGGCUCAACCUGGGAACUGCAUUUGUGACUGCAUGGCUAGAGUACGGUAGAGGGGGAUGGAAUUCCGCGUGUAGCAGUGAAAUGCGUAGAUAUGCGGAGGAACACCGAUGGCGAAGGCAAUCCCCUGGACCUGUACUGACGCUCAUGCACGAAAGCGUGGGGAGCAAACAGGAUUAGAUACCCUGGUAGUCCACGCCCUAAACGAUGUCAACUGGUUGUUGGACGGCUUGCUGUUCAGUAACGAAGCUAACGCGUGAAGUUGACCGCCUGGGGAGUACGGCCGCAAGGUUGA